AUUGAACGCUGGCGGCAGGCUUAACACAUGCAAGUCGAGCGGGGGAAGGUAGCUUGCUACCGGACCUAGUGGCGGACGGGUGAGUAAUGCUUAGGAAUCUGCCUAUUAGUGGGGGACGACAUCUCGAAAGGGAUGCUAAUACCGCAUACGUCCUAUGGGAGAAAGCAGGGGAUCUUCGGAUCUUGCGCUAAUAGAUGAGCCUAAGUCGGAUUAGCUAGUUGGUGGGGUAAAGGCCUACCAAGGCGACGAUCUGUAGCGGGUCUGAGAGGAUGAUCCGCCACACUGGGACUGAGACACGGCCCAGACUCCUACGGGAGGCAGCAGUGGGGAAUAUUGGACAAUGGGGGGAACCCUGAUCCAGCCAUGCCGCGUGUGUGAAGAAGGCCUUAUGGUUGUAAAGCACUUUAAGCGAGGAGGAGGCUACUUUAGUUAAUACCUAGAGAUAGUGGACGUUACUCGCAGAAUAAGCACCGGCUAACUCUGUGCCAGCAGCCGCCGUAA
rnacentral:rRNA from 1 species